CCUGGUGACUAUACGUGCGGGGAAACGCCUGAUCCCAUUCCGAACUCAGAAGCUAAGCCUGUGCGGCCGAUGGUAGUCCUUACGGGCGAGAGUAGGUAUCGCCAGGA
rnacentral:rRNA from 1 species